UACGUAGGGAGCAAGCGUUGUUCGGAUUUACUGGGCGUAAAGGGCGCGUAGGCGGCAUGACAAGUCACUUGUGAAAUCUCUGGGCUUAACCCAGAACGGCCAAGUGAUACUGUCGCGCUAGAGUGCGGAAGGGGCAAUCGGAAUUCUCGGUGUAGCGGUGAAAUGCGUAGAUAUCGAGAGGAACACCUGAGGUGAAGACGGGUUGCUGGGCCGACACUGACGCUGAGUGCGCGAAAGCCAGGGGAGCGAACGGG
rnacentral:rRNA from 1 species